AUUUUCUUAGUAUAAUUAAUACAGAUGGCUUCCAACCAUCAAACUUUGGUUUAAACCCAAAAGAAAAUA
rnacentral:tRNA from 1 species